rnacentral:rRNA from 1 species
AGAGUUUGAUCCUGGCUCAGGAUAAACGCUGGCGGCGUGCCUAACACAUGCAAGUCGAACGCCCUUCCUGCAAAGGAAGGGAGUGGCGGACGGGUGAGGAACACGUGGGUAUCUGCCUUUGGGUGAGGAAUACCGGCGAGAAAUCGCCGACAAUACCGCAUAGGCUCGGCAACGAGCAAAGUCGCAAGACGCCUAAAGAG